UUAUCUGAGGUUGAGUUUUAAUCGGGCAUCGUUUAUCGAGUUUCUUUAAAAGGUUCAUCUUAAAUUUUUGAUUUCUCAUGGGCGUGAUUCCUUCGGGAACGCUUCUUAAGGAUAUUCAAUUGGAAGAAUUCGGAUCAGAAACUAAAUUAUUCGACUUUAUAAGGUCAUUGUUGAGUUUAUAACAUUAUUUUUAAACGAUUCUUUUGUAUUUUUACGUUCAAUAAACAAUUUUACUUCUAUUUUUUGGCGAAAAAGCAUCUUUAAGAAUACACACUAACCUUCUUUUAUUUCCUUUUUUUUCAUAGCUACCCUAGAUAUCUUAGAAAUAAAACCGGUUAAUGUCAACAAAAAUCCGCUUUUUUCAUUGGUUGAUCCAAGUGGUGUGAUUUAUACGAUGAUAUUAAAUACAAAGGAGUUUUAUAUUCCCUGGAGUUUUAGAGAUUACAUUAAUCAAACGUCAAAUGAAAAUAGAGGUUAACAAUGCUUUAAUUGAGUUUUUAACCAAAUAAAGGAAGUUAGCGACUUGGAAUUAAUUAAUUUCCCCAUUUUCGAAGUUAAUUUAGUUAUGAAAGUAUUUCGGUUUCAAAGAACUAGUUUUAAAUAUUUCGUGGAGAUUUAAAGAUGACAUUAACCAAACGUCAAAUGAAAAUAGAGGUUAACGCUUAAAUUGAGUUUUUAACCAAAUAAAGAAAAUCAGCGGCUUGGAAAUGUUUUAAAUUUUAUCAUCAUAAUCAAAACCCCAACCUGUAUUUGGAUGGUGAAAAAGGACUUGGAGGUUGUACACCCGGAACAUCAGAAUCCAAAAAUACAA
rnacentral:lncRNA from 1 species